CCACUAAAAAGAUUACAGAAUUCCUUAUGCACAAACUGUGCUGUCAUUACAACUUUGUUUUCUCCAAGAAACUGUUCCCUUGUAAUGCUCAGCUAAGUAGAAUGGUUCCUUGCUGCCCUGUUUCUGCAUGCUUUAGUGAAUAUAUGCUUUAGUAUUCUGCUCAUUUUGGUUUCUACUAGAAUAAAUGCCAUGCUUUCUUCAGUGUGGCCCUUCUGGGUGGGAAGUUCCAUAUGGAUGCUCUCUGAGCCAAUUCAUUGUCCUCGAUUUAAACAAUUCCUAAAAUUUCUUGGUGCUAUAAUUGUGAGCAGCUCAGUAAAAUCAGCUGUGGUCUUGUGACUAGUAUCCUGUUGUUUAAUACUGGACAGGUAAAUGGCGAUAUGUUCCCUUGCUUGUGCUCCCAAGCUGGUUCCUUUGUACAGUACUGGGAAGAGGCUACACAAGUGCUACAUAAUCCUAGCAACCAGAAUCCUUACCAGAAGAAUUGUGGAUACUUGGCAUUCGCGUACAAGAUGUGUGUAGCAGACUCAAAGACAUUUACAAAGAAACUUCACAGCUACGUGAUAUGCACUACCCAUGUUCUGGUAGAAAAAAAAUGUGUUGUUUCUGUGCUUCAGUUGACGAGCUGAUGGCUGCAUUCAAAAGUGCAAGACUUUUUGCUACUAGCAUGCCCAAAUAAAUGCAGAGGCACUUCACAUGUUGUGAAACUUCAGAAAUAUCUUACAUCAGCCACAGUUAAUAUGAAAUGGGAUCACAGCUGAAUCUCUUCUAACCUUUGGAAAAUACUUUUCCAAAACAACUGCUUCAAAACAAUUGCAGUCUGACAGGUGCUGGAAAAAAAAAAAAAAAAGGUAAAAGGUAUUAAUAUCUUACAAAAUAAAGAUGAAUAAAGAAUUGGGACUACUGCAAACUGGGAUGAAUUUGCUGCAAGAUGGAAAUGUCAUAAGGAAAAAGAAAACUGGAAAGCUUGUUUGAAAUCCAAAGAAGAUCAGAAUGUGUGGGUGACCAGGAUUCAGAGUCUUCAGAUAAUACAGCCAGAAGCAUUGUUUGCUCAGGACAGCACUUCUGACCACAUAUCUCCAAAGUACUCUGAAGCUUGUUAUUUACUCCAACCAUAUUGAAAAGACCACAACACAUCAUGCUUCCAAAGGAUGAGUCAUUAUUUCUCCUUCUACAUUUUCAUGGAAGUCAAGAAGUUGACUCCUUCCCAAAUGUGUUUUAUAACAUCAAAGGAACCGAGAGGGCAUUUCUCACUCCAUUUCCUCCAGCAAUAAUCUACCACUGGAUUGUAGACGUAUGUGAACUAUAACAUAGGGAGAAAAUGAAAGAUACAACAGUACUUCAUGACACAUCCUUACAUUUGUCCUUCACCACUACUUUGAGAUAAAUAUGCCUGCAUUUUCUAUGCAUUUGCAAAUACAUAAAAGGUGCAUCAUUUAUGGGGGCAUUGCCCUUAGCACAGAAGACCCAGGGACCUGGAGAACAUCCUUCAGUUUGGAGAUUUUCCAUGUCGCCGGCAAAGCUAUUGUGUGGAGGGCAGGAAACCACUGGGAUAAGAGAGUUUGCAAGCCCUAAAGAUUUUGUUCUGGGAUGCAACUCAGCUUUUAGCUGGCAUAGGUCUCAGCCAUUUCUUUGCUAUUACUCCAAAAAAUAAGUUGAACCGGUAACUUAGGUCACCAGCACCAAGCAGAAACAUGGACAAAAAUUUCAAACAGCCCAAAAAACCUUUGCACAUUUAAUGAAAGUAGAGAACAGAAAGAUUUGAUGCAAGGCAUACUGAUGCAGGAUGUUACACUGAUGUAAUUUCCAUCUCUUGGAAAGGUUAAAAAGAAGAAAUAAUAAAAUGUUGUAACCAAGCCUAUUGCUGAGAUCUGUACCUAAGGAAUACUGACUCAGUGCUACUAACUCAGACAAAAGGUGGGGGUUCUUACAUCUACGGUAACAGUAAUAAGGUGAAGUUGUACUUCUCAACGAUGUUCCAGUCCAAACACAAACAGUGAAUCGAUAUUGAAGGCUGCUGUUUCCCACUGGAAAAGUCCACAGCAGGAGAAGUUAGAGAAUGAGUUGUUUUGUCCACUUAGAUUUUUAACACAUAUACCAUGGGAGUGUGUUGCUUCUCUGCUUUUUACCCAAGCAUUGCUAGCUUUUUACCCAAGCUUUUGGACUUCUGUCUGUUCAAGUUUGCUUGUAUGGAUACCUCAGAUGCUGCUGUGAGAUGACUACUACUGAGAAUCUAAAAGGAGUUUGGAUACUAAAGGGAGCUUGGACUAUAAAAUACAUUUCCAUAUCUGGAAUAGCAUUCACAUCCAAACUUUCUUUCAACAGAGGCACAGCAUGAAACUUGGGUCUGAUGUGAGUCCUUAUGUAUCUGUGUAUUUAGGUCCAAUGAAAUGAUUAAAGUUUAAUGUUACA